rnacentral:tRNA from 1 species
UAGCUCAGUUGGUAGAGCAUGGUGUUUGCAAUGCCAGGGUUGUGGGUUCGUUUCCCAU